CUUGUGGAUAAUGGAUGUUGACAUGAUGAUGCAAGCUCGCCAGUGUUUAAAACCAAUAUUUAGCUUGAUUUAGCCACUGCAGUAUAAAGAAAGAAGCAGACCAGAAACCUUUGGCUAAAGCAAAGAUGAUAUGCAUAUCAAAAGCAGUUACAUAAUUUACAAGAGUCUGAAGUUAUGAUGACCAUGCAGAAUCAAGAUAUUGUAACAAAGACAUGCCUGCAUGAAGAAGACCAUUCACUCAAUUUUUCAGAAUAAUGUGUCAGAUUGAAAUUCAUCUUAUGUUGGACAAAACAAUCAGGACAUUCUUCUGGAUCACAGCUAGCACAAAGUAUUGACAAAACCAAAGAUUUAUCAUUACCUGGUAGUCUGCAGAUGGAGUGAUCAUUGGAUGAGCCAGACAACACCAUUUUCCUCAGAAAUUUUAGAAUAUAGACUUGAUCUCCAUCUUCAUUCAUAGAUGACUGAUGUUGACAUUUUCUCACUUCUGUUUCAUGUCUUUUCUACAGCAUGGACUCUCCAGCAUCAGUGGACGCUUGACAUUUAUAAACAUUUAUUCUUCUGAAUUUGAUCUGAUAUCCUUAAAUA